UACAGAGGUCUCAAGCGUUGUUCGGAUUCAUUGGGCGUAAAGGGUGCGUAGGCGGCCCGGUAAGUCCGCUGUGAAAGUCGGGGGCUCAACCCUCGAAUGCCGGUGGAUACUGUCGGGCUAGAGUGCGGAAGAGGCGAGUGGAAUUCCUGGUGUAGCGGUGAAAUGCGCAGAUAUCAGGAGGAACACCAAUUGCGAAGGCAGCUCGCUGGGACGUUACUGACGCUGAGACGCGAAAGCGUGGGGAGCAAACAGG
rnacentral:rRNA from 1 species